rnacentral:lncRNA from 7 species
AGAGUCUUGGAAAGUCCACAGUACUUUGAAAGCUUGAUGUUUCCUUACUGCCACCAAAGGAGUGUAGGAAAAAUCUGAAAUCCCCCAGAUUGGAAAAUAUCCUGUGAAUACACAUUUUUCUGACUGCUCCAUGUCAUCAGAUGUCUUUAUCUUCAGCUGCAGUUCUCUGAGAGAUACUGGGGUAUGCAGGAUGCAGAAGAAGGUCUUAGUUUCACUGCACAGUUUGACAGAAGAAGUCUGGACAGCUGGAGAUGGACUAGAGGAUAUCAUGAAGGAAGGAAGCGUGGUCCAGUUUUCUGAAGAUAUUUCUAAUUUAUUGCUGAUGCUCUGUUGCAGUGAUCCAGAAAUGCUGCAUCUGCCAGAAACAGAGGGUAUGAGUGAUUUCAGAGGGGUGAAGUACAGUUGAAUCCAAGUGCAGUAAAUAAAGUGGUUGGAAAC